rnacentral:rRNA from 1 species
AUUGAACGCUGGCGGCAUGCUUUACACAUGCAAGUCGAACGGCAGCACGGGCUUCGGCCUGGUGGCGAGUGGCGAACGGGUGAGUAAUGCAUCGGAACGUGCCCAUGUUGUGGGGGAUAACUACGCGAAAGCGUGGCUAAUACCGCAUACGCCCUGAGGGGGAAAGCGGGGGAUUCUUCGGAACCUCGCGCAAUUGGAGCGGCCGAUGUCAGAUUAGCUUGUUGGUGAGGUAAAGGCUCACCAAGGCGACGAUCUGUAGCGGGUCUGAGAGGAUGAUCCGCCACACUGGGACUGAGACACGGCCCAGACUCCUACGGGAGGCAGCAGUGGGGAAUUUUGGACAAUGGGGGCAACCCUGAUCCAGCCAUGCCGCGUGAGUGAAGAAGGCCUGGUUGUAAGACUCUUCUGCCGGAGAAACGACACGACUCUAACAUAGUCGUGUGGAGUGACGGUACCGGACCGAACGAAGACGACCGGCCGUAACUACGUAGCC